GCGGGCUUAGUUUAGGGGUAAAAUCAGACUUUGCCAAAGUUUAGUCACCAGUUCGAUUCUGGUAGUCCGCUCCA
rnacentral:tRNA from 1 species